rnacentral:lncRNA from 1 species
UAAAUUUAUUUCUGCAGAAUCCAGUAUGUUACACCUAAUGGCCUGGAGUUUUGUCAGGAUACCAUGAAAUACUGUAUGUGAAAGCACACUGCAUCUUGAAACUGUAGGAAAUCUUCUAAAUGGCUGAUGAAAGAUGCUCUUGGCACUCUAUUAAUGGAUGCUAAUUAAAGUCUUGCUUUGGACAAAAGAAAACAGAUGAAGAAGGCAGAACACAAUAGAACCUCACAGAUGGACUCCUGGAAUAAGCAAGGGACUUGCAAGAGAUCCUGGCAAUCUACAUUAUGGUAUAUCAGCACCUUGACUUAUCUUAAUGAAGAUGUCUGGAAAACUCAGUUGUUUCAUAGCUAG